rnacentral:rRNA from 1 species
AACGAACGCUGGCGGCAUGCCUAACACAUGCAAGUCGAACGGCAGCAUGGAAGAGCUUGCUCUUCUGAUGGCGAGUGGCGAACGGGUGAGUAAAGCAUCGGAACGUACCGUGUAGUGGGGGAUAACGUAGCGAAAGUUACGCUAAUACCGCAUACGCACUGAGGUGGAAAGCGGGGGAUCGAAAGACCUCGCGCGAUUAGAGCGGCCGAUGCCUGAUUAGCUUGUUGGUGGGGUAAAGCCCACCAAGGCGACGAUCAGUAGCUGGUCUGAGAGGACGAUCAGCCACACUGGAACUGAGACACGGUCCAGACUCCUACGGGAGGCAGCAGUGGGGAAUUUUCCGCAAUGGGCGAAAGCCUGACGGAGCAAUACCGCGUGAGGGAAGAAUGCCUAUGGGUUGUAAACCUCUUUUUUCAGGGUAGGAAGUCAAAUGACGUGUACCUGAAGAAUAAGCAUCGGCUAACUCCGUGCCAGCAGCCGCGGU